CGUGAUGAAUCCACUCACAUAAUGAACCCACCCCCCACAUUGGUCCUCGAAAAAAAAUCUUUUUUUAUUGUAUGCACCUGUUCAUCUUAUUUUGGUGUGAUUGCCGUUGACGAUCGAAACAAUGUUAAAUCACGCCAUUAUAUCUCAAAACAACGACGCAAUAAAAGUCCAAACAUAGUUUAACAACCAUGCUAAGUAGUUGCCAGCAGCGCGAGUGAUGUGGGUCGAAACUUAAGUUGCGCCUGUUUGCGGUGGAGCACCAUCUGCCAAAUGCAGAAGAAACUUCCUAGCUUAUAGCGCCAUGCAAGCACAGCGGCAUGCAAACAAAGCAAAAAA
rnacentral:lncRNA from 1 species